AUUGAACGCUGGCGGCAGGCUUAACACAUGCAAGUCGAGCGCCAGGUUUCGGCCUGGAGCGGCGAACGGGUGAGUAACACGUAGGUCACGUACCCUAUGGUGGGGAAUACCCCGGGGAAACUCGGAUCAAUGCCCCAUAUGUCCGAAAGGAUGAAAGCGCUUCGGCGCGCCAGAGGAUCGGCCUGCGGCCCAUUAUUUAAUCCUAGUUGGUGAGGUAACGGCUCACCAAGGGUACGAUGGGUAGCUGGUCUGAGAGGACGAUCAGCCACACUGGAACUGAGACACGGUCCAGACUCCUACGGGAGGCAGCAGUGGGGAAUAUUGGACAAUGGGCGAACGCCUGAUCCAGCCAUGCCGCGUGAGUGAUGAAGGCCUUCGGGUUGUAAAGUUCUGUCGUGGGGGAAGAAGUUCUGACGGUACCCCACAAGAAAGCACCGGCUAACUCCGUGCCAGCAGCCGCCGUAAAAC
rnacentral:rRNA from 1 species